rnacentral:rRNA from 1 species
GAUGAACGCUGGCGGCGUGCCUAAUACAUGCAAGUCGAGCGAACGGACGAGAAGCUUGCUUCUCUGAUGUUAGCGGCGGACGGGUGAGUAACACGUGGAUAACCUACCUAUAAGACUGGGAUAACUUCGGGAAACCGGAGCUAAUACCGGUUAAUAUUUUGAACCGCAUGGUUCAAAAGUGAAAGACGGUCUUGCUGCCACUUAUAGAUGGAUCCGCGCUGCAUUAGCUAGUUGGUAAGGUAACGGCUUACCAAGGCAACGAUGCAUAGCCGACCUGAGAGGGUGAUCGGCCACACUGGAACUGAGACACGGUCCAGACUCCUACGGGAGGCAGCAGUAGGGAAUCUUCCGCAAUGGGCGAAAGCCUGACGGAGCAACGCCGCGUGAGUGAUGAAGGUCUUCGGAUCGUAAAACUCUGUUAUUAGGGAAGAACAUAUGUGUAAGUAACUGUGCACAUCUUGACGGUACCUAAUCAGAAAGCCACGGCUAACUACGUG